GCGUCGGUGGUUCAGUGGCAGAAUACUCGCCUGCCACGCGGGUGACCCGGGUUCGAUUCCCGGCCGACGCA
rnacentral:tRNA from 1 species